UCACGUGAACAGGUUUUGGUGUGAUGCAGAUAAAUCACAUAAAUGAGAUUAUUUUAGUAGAAAUAAACCUUGGGUUGGGCUUUAUACAUGUUGGGCCU